rnacentral:tRNA from 1 species
GGGCCUGUAGCUCAGCUAGGUAAAGGUUGUUCUUGGAACAGUCUUCUAGAAAGAGCAUCUGGCUUUUAACCAGGUGGCCCGGGGUUCGAAUCCCCGCAGGCCCG